CCAGCAUCCAUUUUGAUUUAACUUGGCAACUAAAAUAUGUAUAAAUAAGUGUAUGAGAAAGGACUUUGAUUUGGCAUAAAAAUUAAAUAAAUUUGUCGUUAACUUUUCUCCAAAUACUUUUACCGAUACCUCUGCUGGUGGAUAUCGGUCCCAGACGGUAUCAUCAGCUCAGUAGUAAAUAAUAUUGUGCUGACAUGAUUUAUAACAAAACUUUCUAACAUUGUACUUUAAGGUAAUUAUACAUUCUUUGUUUUAUAGAUUCGGCUUC
rnacentral:lncRNA from 1 species